ACAGCUCCGAGCAGUGGAUCACUCGGCUCGCGGGUCGAUGAAGAACGCAGCCAGCUGCGAGAUUUGGUGUGAAUUGCAGAACACUCAGAUCGCUGAUUAUUCGAACGCACAUUGCGGCUCCCGCUCCUCUGCGGGAGCCUCGCCUGUCUGAGGGUCGCGUGAUGCAUGCAGAGGUUCUUUCCUCGGAAGGUGACCAAACGGCCCCUUCGGAUUCGUCCGUGGGCUCAGAGAACGAUCUCUCCCGGGGAUCGACCGCAAACGUACCCCGGGAGCAAGACAAAGGGAUAACUACGAAAACGAGAAGCGACCUCAGAUCAGACGAGAGAACCCGCCGAACUUAAGCAUAUCAGUAAGCGGAGGAAAAGAAAACAACAGUGAUUCCCCCAGUAGCGGCGAGCGAAAAGGGAAGAGCCCAGCGCCGAAUCCCUGCGUCGAGAGGCGCAAUUCGGGAAAUGUGGCGUAAGGAGUGCGCGCAGGUCCGCCGCAGGGUUCGAGGUAAGUCCCCCUGACAGGGGCUUUUCCCGUGGCGGGUGCCAGGCCCGUGUCCUCGAGCCCCGUCGGCGGUGCCGGCGCCUCCGGAGAGUCGGGUUGCUCGGGAGUGCAGCCCCAAGGCGGGAGGUAGACUCCUCCCAAGGCUAAAUACGACCGCGAGACCGAUAGCAAACAAGUACCGUGAGGGAAAGUUGCAAAGAACUUUGAAGAGAGAGUUCAAGAGACGUGAAACUGCUCGGAGGGAAACGGGUGGGCCC
rnacentral:rRNA from 1 species